rnacentral:rRNA from 1 species
ANUUUAUAUCUUGANCUGCNAGGCUCAUUAAAUCAGUUAUAAUCUACUUGAUUGUAAAAUCUACAUGGAUAACUGUAGUAAUUCUAGAGCUAAUACAUGCAAAAAAUCCUGACUGUUAUANAAAGGAUGUAUUUAUUAGGUACAAAAUCAAUGCUGGCACUUGUGUCAGGUUUAUUGAUGAUUCAUAAUAACUAAACGAAGCGCACGACCUUGAGUUGGCGCUGAUACAAACGAGUUUCUGCCCUAUCAACUUUCGAUGGUAGUAUAGAGGACUACCAUGGUUUCAACGGGNAGGGGAAUA